GCGUGCAAGCUAUUCGCAUGACAAGGCACUGCAAACUCUAUUCAGGGAAGAUAAUAGAGUUUCAAAACUUUACAAUUGCUCCAAUAAACCAGUAAAUACAAGCGAGGAGCGAUUAGUUUCAUUCUUUUAGGAAAUAGACUUGCCUUCGUUUUGAAUUCUUUUAGGAAAUAUACUUGCCUAGAUUUAAUCUUUACGCCCCAAAUAUUAUUUACAUCGGAGUUGCAUCAUAAAUUGUACUCGGAUUCAAACAACACAAUGUCAAUGACUUUAUAAAAGUAAAAGCAUAUUGUGUAUUGGCCUAUUGGGUUUACACUUUUACAGGUUCAUUUAACUUUAAGUCUUUAACUCUCUCAAGUUUCAACAGACAAUCGGACAUGCCAAAUCCAUUGAUAUGACAAAUUGACAACUUCAAAAAACUUCGAAGCUAGAAAUCAUGAUUUUUUUCAAAUUUUUCCUGGGAUACUUUGUUUUCUGCUCUCUAGUCUCCCACUCGCGGC